AAGAAAUCCCAGCACUUAUCACGUUCGUUCCAGUCGUAGAUGGCGCCCUACAGUGACAGACAAGAAAGAAAAUUUCGAAAGGAAGGGUUUCGAAGUACGCCUCAAGUAUUUUUUGAGGUUUUAGGGUUCAAGACAAGUGAACAUGAAGAGCCAGAAAAAACAAGGUGGGAUUUCCAGUAAUAGUUUUGCUUAACUUACUCACUAUUUACCCUUUUAUUACAAAUAUUGCGAUGGUUUCUCCGGAAACCCGAAUAUGUUUGCAAUGACUUGGGUUUAUUGAGCUCGGUAUAAAAAGGCCUCGGUUGAUCGGAAUAAUACCAGAAUUAAUCAUUCGACUCUUCCCGUCCAACAUUCGAAAAAGGAAAUACGCAAAGAUUAGAUAGGAUGGUUCGUCUUGCAGUACUCAUGGUAUUUUUGGCUUUGAUUGUUUGUUCAGCUCUGGCUCAACACAACAAUUAUCAUUACAAUCCGCCAGGCCAUCACCAUCACGGUCAUCAUCAUGGACAUCAUCAUCAUCAUCAUCAUGGACAUCACCAUCAUCAUCAUGGACAUCACCACGGCUAAAUCAGCGACCAAAACGGCCAAAGUACUCCAUACCAUUACAUCUGCGCUAAGGACAAUUGAUAGUAAAGACACAAUUUUGUAUAUCAAUGUGACACUAGACCAUAUGUUUCACUGUGACACCAGACCAUAUGGUAUUUUCAUUUGCGCUUUGACCAGUUGAUAGUAAAGUCACUCAGUUGUGUUACACUGUGACACGUAGAACAAAUAAAAAACUACAUUUGGAGAAA
rnacentral:lncRNA from 1 species